GCAUUUGAUCAUCGGAAUCUAUCUGUGAAACAAAAACAUGAGCAUCAGACACUAGAUUUGAUGCGGUUUCAAAUAUAUGGUGAGAAUCAAGAGCCAACAAGCAACAACCAGAUGACCAAAAAAAAAUAUCCAAGGAACAAACAGAUCCAUAUGAUAUCCUGACCAAUGAUUUAGCUACAGUUUGAACGUUUAUUCUAAUUUUCCAUGUUUUUUCAAGAUAAUCAAUCUAUUCAAACAAGAACCGAGAUUUUUCACUGAUUUUAUGCAUUAAAUUUCUUUUCCCUAGAAGAUUGAUAUGGUUGUUUUUCAAAAGUUGAUUAACAGACGUUGUAGCAGUAAAGGGAACUUCAGAUCAUUAUAGCGCAUGUAGAGCCUACAGGACCUUUAACAAGGUUAUCAUUACCCAAUGUCUUCUAGACAUCUAAUAACUUCCACACUAAACUCUACUGGUUAGAAUGGAUUGGUAGAGUCAGAUGAACCUCAUGAGGAUAUAAUGUUGAGCCAAUUCAAAAACCAUAAAUAUAUACAUGCACUCACACACACAAGCUUAUGGAUUUGAAGAAUUAUUAGAUAAAUAGACCAUGUUUUAUGACAAAAUUUG
rnacentral:misc_RNA from 1 species